UACGUAGGGUGCGAGCGUUGUCCGGAAUUACUGGGCGUAAAGGGUGCGUAGGCGGCAUGGCAAGUCAGAUGUGAAAUCCCCGGGCUUAACUCGGGAGUUGCAUUUGAAACUGCCGUGCUUGAGUGCAGGAGAGGAAAGCGGAAUUCCUAGUGUAGCGGUGAAAUGCGUAGAUAUUAGGAGGAACACCAGUGGCGAAGGCGGCUUUCUGGACUGUAACUGACGCUGAGGCACGAAAGCGUGGGGAGCAAACAGGAUUAGAUACCCU
rnacentral:rRNA from 1 species